rnacentral:rRNA from 1 species
UACGGGGGGGGCAAGCGUUGUUCGGAAUUACUGGGCGUAAAGGGCGCGUAGGCGGUUGGAUAAGUCAGCUGUGAAAACCACGGGCUUAACUCGUGGCCUGCAGUUGAGACUGUCUGGCAUGAGUGUGGGAGAGGAGAGUGGAAUUCCUGGUGUAGCGGUGAAAUGCGUAGAUAUCAGGAGGAACACCGGUGGCGAAGGCGGCUCUCUGGACCACAACUGACGCUGAGGCGCGAAAGCUAGGGGAGCAAACAGG